UACGUAGGGGGCAAGCGUUGUCCGGAUUUAUUGGGCGUAAAGAGCUCGUAGGUGGUUCGGUAAGUCGGAUGUGAAAUCUCCAGGCUCAACCUGGAGGGGUCAUUCGAUACUGCCGUGACUAGAGGUCGGUAGGGGAGUGUGGAAUUCCUGGUGGAGCGGUGAAAUGCGCAGAUAUCAGGAGGAACACCCGUAGCGAAGGCGGCAUCCUGGACCGACACUGACGCUGAGGAGCGAAAGCCAGGGGAGCAAACGGG
rnacentral:rRNA from 1 species